rnacentral:snoRNA from 1 species
UUGCAGCCAGUUAAGCCGACUGUGCUCUUUUCCCCAUGGGGGCCCGGUGUGCAAUGGCUGCAAACAGCAGCCUCCUUGGUAGUGUAUGCAGCCUGUUGCCUGUAUGGGUUGCCCUAAGGGACCUUGGAGACAGCC